rnacentral:rRNA from 1 species
GAUGAACGCUAGCGGCAGGCCUAACACAUGCAAGUCGAGGGGUAGCAGGAUUAAGCUUGCUUAAUUGCUGACGACCGGCGCACGGGUGCGUAACGCGUAUGCAACCUACCUUAUACUGGGGUAUAGCCCGGAGAAAUUCGGAUUAAUCCCCCAUAGUACUAAUGAAUCGCAUGGUUUAUUAGUUAAAGCAUUGCGGUAUAAGAUGGGCAUGCGUCCUAUUAGCUAGAUGGUGAGGUAACGGCUCACCAUGGCUACGAUAGGUAGGGGGCCUGAGAGGGUGGUCCCCCUCACUGGUACUGAGACACGGACCGGACUCCUACGGGAGGCAGCAGUAGGGAAUAUUGGUCAAUGGACGCAAGUCUGAACCAGCCAUGCCGCGUGAAGGAUGAAGGCCCUAUGGGUCGUAAACUUCUUUUAUUAGGGAAGAAAAAACGGGAUGCGUCCUGUACUGACGGUACUUAAUGAAUAAGGAUCGGCUAACUUCGUGCCAGCCGCCGCGGUAA